rnacentral:rRNA from 1 species
ACAACGGAGAGUUUGAUCCUGGCUCAGGACGAACGCUGGCGGCGUGCUUAACACAUGCAAGUCUACGAGAAAGUUUCUUUCGGGAAGCAAGUAAAGUGGCGCACGGGUGAGUAACACGUAGGUAAUCUGCCUUAGAGAUUGGGAUAACUCGGCGAAAGCCGGACUAAUACCAAAUAAUGCAACGACUUUUUCGAGAGAUGUUGUUAAAGCGGGCUUCGGCUCGUACUUUAGGAUGAGCC